GAACGACGUGCCAGAUCUCUGCUAUGUUGGAUAUUUGUAUAUAUCAGCAUUACUAUUUUUAUUAGGUCUAUUUAUUGUUCAGUUGGUUAAAUUUGUUUGAACACUGAAGCCUCCGGUACAGCUGUACUGCCGCCCUACGUACGAUACGGAGAAAAUUCGAAAGUGAAAGUAGAAAUCGUGUACAAGUUAACAAUAACCAUCUCGAAGUUGAAGUUAAACAUGCAAUCUGGAACUCGGUAUCACAUCUGACUCGCACUUCUGAAAUGGAUCAAAUCGGACUUUGUCGUCGAGACUCGGAAGAACCCAGCUGCCUAAAUUAUAAUGCCAGUGGAACACAAAACAGAAAAGAUACUUGUAUGCAAGACAUGGAGAAAAGAGCAGACUACAGCCUCUAUAUACCAUUCCUUGGUGCCUCCUUGAAUUGAUGUUUUUCAGGAUAACCAUGCAGGAAUAAAGGUUAACUCAGUAUAAAGUCUUGCUGACAUGAACAUGAUAAUCACAAGAAAGUGAAUAUAUUUCAUCACCUUAAGCAAUCUUCAAAAUACCAGAUUUAGGCACAUCUCUGCAGUGGAAACUGUGACACCAUGGAGUAAACAUGCAGUAUACGUGACGUCACAAUGCUUUUCAAACGUCGGAAUACAUGCACGAGGCUUUAUUAGGGCAAUGACCGGAUAAAGCUUUGGUUUAUUAGGUUACCUUUAUUAGGUCAGUGCAAGGGGUGGUUGCAGGAUAAAUGGAAGUAUAUAGUUUUUAGAUACUAGUAGCUUUUUAGUUCACCUGAGCUGAAAGCUCAAGUGAACUUUUCAGAUCACAUUUUGUUCGGCGUCUGUCUGUCCAUCUGUUAACUUUUCACAUUUUCAACUUCUUCUGAAGAACCACUGGGCCAGGAAAGAUGGAACUUAAAUGGAAGCAUCCUCAGAUAGUGUACUUUAAAGCCUCUUCAACCCGGGAGGGGGGGGGGCACAAUGGACUUUCAGUCUUGCUAAAGAAAUAAGGUAUUUUUAAACAUCUAUUCGGAUAUAAAUAUCGGUUGGUCAUGACUCAUAAGAUUAAAUUCCAUAAAGCCUGAGGGGCUUUAUAAUGAAUUUAAUCUCGUACCAACCUGUAUUUAGCCCGUUGGAUGUUUAAAAAUGAUACCAUAUUACUUAUAUUUACAUUUGUGACUUAUUCAUACUUUAUAUUUGCCUGAUCACGCUGUUUGUGGCUUUUGCAAAAUGCAUUAUUUUUCAAAACCAAUGGCAUGUAUACAA